rnacentral:rRNA from 1 species
GAUGAACGCUGGCGGCGUGCCUAAUACAUGCAAGUCGAGCGAACGGACGAGAAGCUUGCUUCUCUGAUGUUAGCGGCGGACGGGUGAGUAACACGUGGAUAACCUACCUAUAAGACUGGGAUAACUUCGGGAAACCGGAGCUAAUACCGGAUAAUAUUUUGAACCGCAUGGUUCAAAAGUGAAAGACGGUCUUGCUGUCACUUAUAGAUGGAUCCGCGCUGCAUUAGCUAGUUGGUAAGGUAACGGCUUACCAAGGCAACGAUGCAUAGCCGACCUGAGAGGGUGAUCGGCCACACUGGAACUGAGACAUGGUCCAGACUCCUACGGGAGGCAGCAGUAGGGAAUCUUCCGCAAUGGGCGAAAGCCUGACGGAGCAACGCCGCGUGAGUGAUGAAGGUCUUCGGAUCGUAAAACUCUGUUAUUAGGGAAGAACAUAUGUGUAAGUAACUGUGCACAUCUUGACGGUACCGAAGCAGAAAGCCACGGCUAACUACGU